rnacentral:tRNA from 1 species
GCCCUUUUAACUGAGGGGUAGAGUAACGCCUAUGGUAAGACGUAAGUAAUCGGUUCAAGCCCGAUAAAGGACU